rnacentral:rRNA from 1 species
UACGUAGGGGCCAAGCGUUGUCCGGAUUUAUUGGGCGUAAAGAGCUCGUAGGCGGUUCGGCAAGUCGAAUGUGAAAUCUCCACGCUCAACGUGGAGGGGUCAUUCGAUACUGCCGUGACUUGAGUACGGUAGGGGAGUGUGGAAUUCCCGGUGUAGCGGUGAAAUGCGCAGAGAUCGGGAGGAACACCCGUAGCGAAGGCGGCACUCUGGGCCGAUACUGACGCUGAGACGCGAAAGCGUGGGGAGCAAACAGG